CCCGUCGCCCUCCGAGGCCGCGACGGCGCCGCCGUCGUAUCGGUUCCAUGCUGCAGAUCUGGGUAUGGAAUUUGCUCCUCACCAGGAGAGAAGGAGCCGUUGUCACCGGCCACCAUGGCGGAAACUUGAGGCGAACCCAAUCAAAAGAAAUAGAAGUAGGAAUCGAUCGCGAAGGAACCAAAAACGGCGACUCAAAGAGAAGGGAUCGGACACCUUUGUCGAUCAACAGAUCUAAGUGAAUCAAAGCUCAUCGACAAAUUACGGUUUGGAGAGAGAGAGAGAGAGAGAGAGAGAAGAGGCGACGAAAGCCAUGAGAGCUGCUUAGUCGCCUGCAACAGUCGGCAGCGGCGUACUCUUGUUAUAAUCGAUAUCGGAUCGGGUGAUAUAUAAAAUAUUAUAACGGCUUUCGCCUUAAUCAAUGCAUGACUAAAAAAAUCAAUCAAUCAAAUUAUUGAUCCCGUGUUAAGUAGCACGGUUUGCCGGCCAUGCUAAAUGACACCACCAUUCCUUGUUGGCAUCAGCGUGGGCUGAGGAUCCCAAAUUUCCCGAAUCUUUAUCUUCCCAACCCUACAUCCUCUUCCUUCGGUCCGCGUCCCGUUCCCCUUCGUCGACUCUCGAUUGGUGAAUUCUCGUCCGAGUAUUGGAUCACACAGAAGAAUCUGUGUCGUCAGGGGAAUCCGGUUGGAGACUGCUGCGUGCUGCAUCAGCUUUCUUGGCCUUUUCCGGGAGAAAAAUCGGACUUUUGCCGCUGGGUUUGCUGGGGUUUUCCUGGCAGAGACUGGUAGCUUGUUGUCGACGGGAAGAGUUAAUCUUGAGCUAGUAUUGGAUGGUCGAUAGGGUUUCGUAGCUGGUGGGUUAGGGAUGUGACUGUUCGAGCUGCGUGUCUUGAUGAGAUUGCGGAGUUGAGAGACAUGAAAGGGGCGGAGGAGGAGAAGGUCAUGGGGCCUCUGUUUCCGAGGCUCCAUGUGAAUGAUGCAGAGAAAGGGGGGCCGAGGGCGCCGCCGAGAAACAAGAUGGCGUUGUAUGAGCUGCUUAGUAUCCCGUCUCAGAGGCUCAACUUGGCAUCCUCCACCCUAUCACUUCCUCCUCACAGCUCCAGCGACUUAUCCCCUUCCUUUUCGCCAAGCAAGGGAUGUGACCAUCAAAGGAUUAUGCUUUCUCCAUUGUACAUUUCUCCUCAAGUGUCUUUUCAUUCAGCAGAGAUAGUUAAAUCUUGUACGCCUGACGAAACAAAUGGUAUUCCAACGAGGAUGGAGUUCAAGAGAAAAUUUAUGAAGCAAGUAAGUUCUGGAAAUUUGUUCGGUACAGGAUCAGUUGCUGAAUGUAGCCCACUGAGACCACACAGCCUUAGUGUGAACAUUUCUGGUGGGAAGAUAAUGGUUGAUGUGGAUGACAUGGAUGAUAAUAUAGAUCAUUCGGGAAUUCUUGCAUCCUCGAAAAGAGAUACACACAUGACUGAUCCAGGUAAGUCAACUACCUUAAAUUCCCAGCAACUACAGAAGAUUCCUUCUGCUAGGAUCAAUUCUUCGGUUCAGUUCCCAAAGUCAAACAAGACGCCCUCACAACAAACCGAUAUUGCUUGCAUGAAAUCAAAAAAUUCUAAUAGAAUUCAUAUUGGAAAAAUUCCUAAGGAAACUUCAACAAUUGAAGAGCCCAAAGAAACUUCAACAAUCGGAGAACCCAAAGAAGCCAAAGAAAAGUUAUCCCAUACAACUGGUGAGAGAUCAAACAAUCCGAAAGAUUCUUUGGCUAGAGAUGAUACAAUCAGUUUACAUUUAACUGAGAAAUCAACGAAUGGCGAUACAGUAUUGUGUCAUGGAAACGGUGAUCAGAGCGGAACUCAGCGCUUGAAUGAUAUUGCUGUUAUUAAUGAUGGUGAGGCUAUGAAGACCAGAAGUCAAUUAUGCUAUAAAGCUUUACCUGGAAAAGGUCAUAGAGCUACAGAUAUUUCUGGGAAUUUCCACAAAGAGGACAGUGCAAAGAAAAAUGGGUUAUUGGAAUUUAGAGAUUUAGAAAGAAAAGAUGAUGCAUCUGAGCCCUUAAUGGUGGGCACAGUGUCCGGUUUGGUGAUAUCCCCAGAUGAUAUUGUUGGAGUGAUUGGUUCAAAGCAUUUUUGGAAAGCCCGAAGAGCUAUUAUCAAUCAGCAAAAGGAUUUUGCAAUACAAGUAUUUGAGCUUCAUAGGGUAAUAAAGGUUCAGAAGUUGAUAUCUGCAUCGCCACAUUUGCUUCUUGAAGGCAAUCCUUAUUUAAGCAAAUGUUCAGUAAAACCACCCAAUAAGACCCUGCCUCAAUGUAAUACAAAUCCUCGGCCUGAGGAAUUUAGACCAAAAGAUGGUCUUCAGAACCCAAAACAGAACAAAGAGCAGCCAGCUGAUAACAUUGCUGGAGUUUCAGCUCUCCCCGCAUGUGAGGAUGGGUCUAAAGGAGGUCCACAUGGUCAAGUUCCAAAAGCAGGGUCCAACUCUGGUAUUCCAUUACCAGUGCCAAUGGCUCCAGAUGACAAGUCAAGACCGUUGUGUUUUCCUCCCCUGGGAAACCAAUGGUUAGUUCCUGUAAUGUUGCCUUCGGAAGGUCUUGUUUACAAGCCCUAUACGGGACCUUGCCCACCAACUGGUGGCUUCAUGGCCCCUCUUUAUGGAAGAGGCACACCUCUUGGUGCAUCUCAAGUGGCAGGAGACUUCAUCAACCCAGCUUUUGGUGUUUCAGCAUCUCAUCAGCCACCAAACUUGGGUAUUUUACCAGGUCCUUCGGCAAUUGCACCCCUGUAUUAUCCCACACCUUAUGGCCAUCAAGCUUGGCACCCAAUCAUUUCUACCUCUGCAGUCGAACAGGUCAGCAAUUUAGCUGGUUCACAGCCCAAUGGACAAACUGGUCAGCAUUCCAGGCGUUCAUGUAACAUGUCCCCCAUUCCUAGGAAGGAAGCAUUUCCUGGCCAUGUUGGGAAGUUUCAGGUGUCAAAGAACAGUGAGUUUCAAGGAAGCACAGUGAACAGCCCCUCUGAGAAGGCACAACUAGAAGAAAGAGAUCAAUUUCUUCUAUUUCCUACAGCUCCUGGAGCGAGCAGUCUUAAUUGCUCAUUACAAUCCAAUGGUACAGAUAGCCAGACUCGUGUGAUUAAGGUUGUGCCUCAUAAUUCUAGGUCUGCUACGGAGUCAGCUGCAAGGAUUUUUCGGUCAAUACAAGAAGGGAGGCAACAACAUGACUCAUGACUUGUGUCCUUUCAAAAGUGAGUUUCAACUUGUUCACGGAUGGGGAUGUGAGCUCACUUUGGAGCUUUUUCUCAAUAAUAUAGAGUGAACUUUGGUGCCAAGAUUAAAUUGGAGUACCUGAUGAAGUCGCCACGACUGCCAUGUAGUAUAUGGUGGUUCUCCUGUCAUCAGGUCGCUUGCAUUCAUGAGCAAUAAGAGGACUUUUGGUGUCGAGGAAGGAACCCAGUUCACAGUACCCAUGGAUGGAGGAAUGAUGGUGGGUUUCACCGGAGGAUGUGGGUGGUACCUCGAUGCAAUCGGCUGGUGCCUCUCACCGAUCCCUAGUGUGAAGCUCUGCAACACCAGUGCAUCAGAAACUCCAGAAGAUAGGCACUAUGGCAUCCAAAACUUUGGGCAAUAAAAACAUGGGAAAGAUACCUCUGCCAAAUCCCGGAAGACAUAUGCAUGAAGUUUCUUUUCUUCUCUUCUGGUGAGGUUUGCUAAUUCACAAGUUAUGUUCAUUGGGUUUCUUCAAGUACUACUAGUUGUAAGAUAAUGCAUGUCUGAAUCCAUAUCUGUAUCUGACUUAAACCAGAGAGACCUACAUAUAAAUUUACAUAUGAGUGCAUUCAUAUCCA